AGAGUUUGAUCCUGGCUCAGAACGAACGCUGGCGGCGUGCUUAACACAUGCAAGUCGAACGAGAAAGCUUCCUUCGGGAAGUAAGUAGAGUGGCGCACGGGUGAGUAACGCGUAGGUAAUCUACCCUUAUAACUGGGAUAACAUUGGGAAACUGGUGCUAAUACCGGAUACACUUCUUUACUGCGGGGUAAAGGAGGAAAGGUGGCCUCUUCAUGAAAGCUACCGUAUAGGGAUGAGCCUGCGUACCAUUAGCUAGUAGGCGGGGUAACGGCCCACCUAGGCAACGAUGGUUAGCGGGUCUGAGAGGAUGAUCCGCCACACUGGAACUGGAACACGGACCAGACUCCUACGGGAGGCAGCAGUGAGGAAUAUUGCGCAAUGGGGGAAACCCUGACGCAGCGACGCCGCGUGAGUGAGGAAGGUUUUCGGAUCGUAAAGCUCUGUCAGAAGGGAAGGAGUGUUAUAUGUUUAAUACGCAUAUAAUUUGACGGUACCUUCAGAGGAAGCACCGGCUAACUCCGUGCCAGCAGCCGCGGUAAUACGGAGGGUGCAAGCGUUGUUCGGAAUUACUGGGCGUAAAGGGCGCGUAGGCGGCUGGAUAAGUCAGAUGUGAAAGUCCAUGGCUCAACUGUGGAAGUGCAUUUGAAACUGUCCGGCUUGAGUAUCGGAGGGGAGUGUGGAAUUCCCGGUGUAGAGGNGAAAUUCGUAGAGAUCGGGAGGAACACCGGUGGCGAAGGCGACACUCUGGACGAAUACUGACGCUGAGGCGCGAAAGCGUGGGGAGCAAACAGGAUUAGAUACCCUGGUAGUCCACGCCGUAAACGAUGUGAACUAGGGAUAGGGGGUGUUGAUCCCUCCUGUCCCGCAGCUAACGCAUUAAGUUCACCGCCUGGGGAGUACGGUCGCAAGAUUAAACUCAAAGAAUUGACGGGGGCCGCACAGCGGUGGAGUAUGUGGUUUAUUCG
rnacentral:rRNA from 1 species